GACGAACGCUGGCGGCGUGCUUAACACAUGCAAGUCGAACGGAAAGGCCCUGCUUUUGUGGGGUGCUCGAGUGGCGAACGGGUGAGUAACACGUGAGUAACCUGCCCUUGACUUUGGGAUAACUUCAGGAAACUGGGGCUAAUACCGGAUAGGAGCUCCUGCUGCAUGGUGGGGGUUGGAAAGUUUCGGCGGUUGGGGAUGGACUCGCGGCUUAUCAGCUUGUUGGUGGGGUAGUGGCUUACCAAGGCUUUGACGGGUAGCCGGCCUGAGAGGGUGACCGGCCACAUUGGGACUGAGAUACGGCCCAGACUCCUACGGGAGGCAGCAGUGGGGAAUAUUGCACGAUGGGCGGAAGCCUGAUGCAGCAACGCCGCGUGCGGGAUGAAGGCCUUCGGGUUGUAAACCGCGUUCGCCUGUGACGAAGCGUGAGUGACGGUAAUGGGUAAAGAAGCACCGGCUAACUACGUG
rnacentral:rRNA from 1 species